CACGAACACCCUUUUGAACCUCGUGGAGGUGGUUUUCUCUUCGCUCUAUUGACUCUGCUGAAUCCAGAUUCUUGUACAGCACUGCAAACAUGUCAGACCCAACAAGACUGGAAAUGGCAUUGGCUGCAAUGUUCAGUGCCUACAUGUCCUACCAAGGAGAUGACAAUAAACUGACCAAAGAACAAUUUCUAAAAUUAGUGAAGAAUGAACUACCCUUACUUUCUCAGGGAAAAAGUGAAGAUGAGCUCUUCCAGUGUGUCGACCACAAUGAUGAUAAACGUGUGGACUUUGAAGAGUUCGCCUCACUGGUUGCUGGUUGCGCCUGUGCAAGCCAUGAUGCCCUCCAAGAGGUCAUGAAAGAACUGGACACAAAAGGCUGCCCAAAGUAAAGCACUGCUGAUGUGGAAAGAAACCCAAUAUAGGCCUUCCCUGGAUUCACAUUAAAACAAUAAAGUUAGUCAAAGUCAAA